CCUACGGGUGGCAGCAGUGGGGAAUAUUGCACAAUGGGCGCAAGCCUGAUGCAGCCAUGGCGCGUGUGUGAAGAAGGCCUUCGGGUUGUAAAGCACUUUCAGCGGGGAGGAAGGCGGUGAGGUUAAUAACCUCAUCGAUUGACGUUACCCGCAGAAGAAGCACCGGCUAACUCCGUGCCAGCAGCCGCGGUAAUACGGAGGGUGCAAGCGUUAAUCGGAAUUACUGGGCGUAAAGCGCACGCAGGCGGUCUGUCAAGUCGGAUGUGAAAUCCCCGGGCUCAACCUGGGAACUGCAUUCGAAACUGGCAGGCUAGAGUCUUGUAGAGGGGGGUAGAAUUCCAGGUGUAGCGGUGAAAUGCGUAGAGAUCUGGAGGAAUACCGGUGGCGAAGGCGGCCCCCUGGACAAAGACUGACGCUCAGGUGCGAAAGCGUGGGGAGCAAACAGGAUUAGAUACCCUAGUAGUC
rnacentral:rRNA from 1 species